UCUACAAUCUUAUCGUGCUCUAUCUUCCAUGGAGUCAUCGUAGCCAUGUUGGGUAAAUUUGUCAAAAGCUUUCCUUCUUUUCAAAUAAUUCAAAAUUCACCCAACGUGUUGCGAAAAUUACUUUCCACUUUGACUCCUUCAUAUUGGUUAGCAAAACCGUGGAUCCUUCCUCUUGCCCAGAAAACGUAUAUCAUGUUUUCGUGCCAAAUAUUCGGGAAUGCGACUACAUUCCAAACGUAAUGAGUAACGUAUAUGACGAAAACGUUUUUUGAACCAUAUCCUAUAAUCGGCG